rnacentral:rRNA from 1 species
UAUUGGUCAAUGGACGAAAGCCUGAACCAGCCAAGUAGCGUGCAGGAUGACGGCCCUAUGGGUUGUAAACUGCUUUUAUACGGGAAUAAAGUAGAGGCACGUGUGGCUUUUUGCAUGUACCCUACUGAAUAAGGACCGGCUAAUUCCGUG